rnacentral:rRNA from 1 species
UACGAAGGGGGCUAGCGUUGCUCGGAAUUACUGGGCGUAAAGGGCGCGUAGGCGGAUAUUUAAGUCGGGGGUGAAAGCCCAGGGCUCAACCCUGGAACAGCCUUCGAUACUGGAUGAUCUUGAGUACGGGAGAGGUGUGUGGAACUCCGAGUGUAGAGGUGAAAUUCGUAGAUAUUCGGAAGAACACCAGUGGCGAAGGCGACACACUGGCCCGUUACUGACGCUGAGGCACGAAAGCGUGGGGAGCAAACAGG